rnacentral:rRNA from 1 species
AGUUUGAUCCUGGCUCAGAGCGAACGCUGGCGGCGUGCUUAACACAUGCAAGUCGAGUGCGCAGCUUUCUGUAGCAAUACAGGGAGUGGGCGCACGGCGCACGGGUGCGUAACACGUGGGCAACAUGCCCUUGGAUGGGGAAUAACCCCGCGAAAGCGGGGCUAAUACCGCAUAACAUUCCUGGAACCUUGGUUUCGGGACUCAAAGCCGUAAGGCGUCCGAGGAGUGGCCCGCGCACGAUUAGCUAGUUGGCGAGGUAACGGCUCACCAAGGCGAUGAUCGUUAGCCGGUCUGAGAGGAUGGCCGGCCACACUGGAACUGAGACACGGUCCAGACUCCUACGGGAGGCAGCAGUGGGGAAUAUUGCGCAAUGGGCGAAAGCCUGACGCAGCGACGCCGCGUGGGGGAUGAAGCUUCUCGGAGUGUAAACCCCUUUCGACCCGGACGAAUGCCCCGCAAGGGGAGGGACGGUACGGGUAUAAGAAGCCCCGGCUAACUACGUGCCAGCAGCCGCGGUAAUACGUAGGGGGCCAGCGUUGCUCGGAAUAACUGGGCGUAAAGGGUUCGUAGGCGGUGCGGAAAGUUGGGAGUGAAAUCUCUGGGCUUAACUCAGGGACUGCUUUCAAAACUUCCGUGCUCGAGUGCGAGAGAGGCAAGUGGAAUUGCAGGUGUAGCGGUGAAAUGCGUAGAUAUCUGCAGGAACACCCGUGGCGAAGGCGGCUUGCUGGAUCGCAACUGACGCUGAGGAACGAAAGCUAGGGGAGCAAACAGGAUUAGAUACCCUGGUAGUCCUAGCCCUAAACGAUCAGAACUUGGGGUGCAUCCCGUUGGGGGUGCGUCUCGUAGCUAACGCGUUAAGUUCUGCGCCUGGGGAGUACGGUCGCAAGACUGAACUCAAAGGAAUUGACGGGGGCCCGCACAAGCGGUGAACAUGUGGUUCAAUUCGACGCAACGCGAAGAACCUUACCUGGGCUU